CUGUUCGCCAAUUAAAGCGGUACGCGAGCUGGGUUCAGAACGUCGUGAGACAGUUCGGUCCCUAUCUGCCGUGGGCGUUGGAAAUUUGAGAGGAGCUGUCCUUAGUACGAGAGGACCGGGAUGGACGUACCUAUGGUGUAUCGGUUGUCGCGCCAGCGGCAUUGCCGGGUAGCUACGUACGGAAGGGAUAACCGCUGAAAGCAUCUAAGCGGGAAGCCCACCCUAAGAUAAGUUUUCCCAGGAUCCCUUGAGAUCCCUGAAGGGCCAUCGUAGACUACGAUGUUGAUAGGUCGGGUGUGGAAGCUCAGUAAUGAGUGAAGCUAACCGAUACUAAUUACCCGUGAGGCUUGGUCUUAUAACA
rnacentral:rRNA from 1 species